rnacentral:rRNA from 1 species
GACAGAGGGGGCAAGCGUUGCUCGGAAUUACUGGGCGUAAAGCGCACGUAGGCGGCAUUGCAAGUCGGAUGUGAAAUCCCUCGGCUUAACCAAGGAAGUGCAUCCGAAACUGCAGUGCUUGAGUACUUAAGAGGAUCGCGGAAUUCCCGGUGUAGAGGUGAAAUUCGUAGAUAUCGGGAGGAACACCAGUGGCGAAGGCGGCGAUCUGGGAAGAUACUGACGCUGAGGUGCGAAAGCGUGGGGAGCAAACAGG